UUGAAGAUAUAAUAUAACUUACCAGUAUUUUGUAAGAUGGAUUGUGCAAUCACAAGAAUAAAAAAUAAUUAGUUGAAGAUAUAAUGAUAUAACAAUGCAAACAACUAAUGAUAAUCUAUAUACAGCAAAACAUGAUCUAACAAUCAAAUCCCGCAUUCCUCACAUUUUAUUUUUCUUGCUACCUUUCUUUUGAGUCCUUUUUAGUUUCAAACCCUUUACGGAAAGCACAUCAGAGGCACUCUUGCCUUCAAGCUUCUUUGUCAUCCUUACAACACUAGUCAUGCCUUUUCUAGCGGCAGCCCGCUGUUGAGGUCGACGGCUCAUCAUUUUCCGAUCAAGUGGCCAAUAUGCAUAAGUGACUAUCACGCUCACUCCCAAUAUCAAAAUCGGUGUCAGGCUUUACCUUCCUUCUUUCCUCUUCCUCGCAUAUAAUCAACCGUCCUUCGGAAUCUAGCUCUAUCUCAUCAUCUGACCUUGAUUUUCUUUUAAGAUAAUCUGAGGAUCUAAGGGCUGACCUUGUUUUCUGCUGAUCCAGUAAAUCAAGUGGCUCAUCAUCUGAUUGGUCAGAGAAGUGCUCAUGCAAAUUCUUC